UACGGAGAGUUUGAUCCUGGCUCAGGAUGAACGUUGGCGGCGUGCCUAAUACAUGCAAGUCGAACGAGGACUCUGGUAUUUAUAUCGGAAGUUCCUAGUGGCGAACGGGUGAGUAACGCGUUGGUAAUCUGCCCCAAAGUAAGGGAUAACAGUUGGAAACGACUGCUAAUACCUCAUGUGAUCAUAGAGAUUAGAUGCUCUAUGAUUAAAGGAGUAAUCCGCUUUGGGAGGAGCCUGCGUCCCAUCAGCUAGUUGGUAAGGUAAUGGCUUACCAAGGCUAUGACGGGUAGGAGGCCUGAGAGGGUGGCCUCCCACAAUGGUACUGAAACACGGACCAUACACCUACGGGUGGCAGCAGUAGGGAAUAUUGCCCAAUGGACGAAAGUCUGAGGCAGCAACGCCGCGUGAGUGAUGAAGGCCUUCGGGUUGUAAAACUCUUUUACGAGGGAAGAAGAAGGACGGUACCUCGUGAAUAAGGAUCGGCUAACUACGUGCCAGCAGCCGCGGUAACACGUAGGAUUCAAACGUUAUCCGGAUUUACUGGGCGUAAAGCGCGUGCAGGCGGUUUGGUAAGUUGGAU
rnacentral:rRNA from 1 species